UAAAGGGUGUAAUUAGGUAAUGACCCCUUUAAUCUCUGGUUGUCUUAACCGCCAAGAUUUGGGUAAAGAGUAAAGAAGCCUAUUUGGGUUAGAUAACUGUUAUGUAAACUCCUUAAAACGUUUGAUUAUUUUUGUGAUUUACUAAUUAAUUUUCAAUUUUGUCAUUUAAUUUUAUGGAAAUUUGUGUAUUACUAUCUGUUAUUGACAAGCUGUUGAUUGUGAAGAAACAUGCCUGUUGCCACCUUUUCUGAUUCCUCAGCGGAUUACACUCUUUAUUCUGACUUCAACACACAUCAUUUCAGUGGCUUUAUUAAUUUAAAUUGUGCCACUCAAUGGACUCAAUUAAGCUGAACAUUUUCCACCUGAUUCUUCAUGACAUUCUGUUUAAUCGGUUUUGUAAAUCAUUUAGUGUUGACUCAUCAAUCUAUUUCUACAUUUUUUUUCUCUUUUCAACCUUUGAAUUUAUCAUUUUUGUCAUGCUUUCUUUUUCAUCUUUAUUCAUUAAGUGUUUCAGGCUUAGUGAAGGUUAAUGGUUGAAAUUGAUUUUGAUAGAGUUUCAAUGUUUUAAUUAAACUGUUAAUGAACCGUUGGUUAUCUGGGGAUAAUAUUCACUUGUUUUUCACUUCAAAAUUUUGCUCAUCUAUCUAUUUUCACUGGGGAAAAAGCCAAUCUAUCAUUUUAACAUUAUCCAUACGUCUUAUGGAUAGAUGAAAGAUUUUCGCCCUUUGCUUUUUCACUUUUAAUGGAGAGCAGAAUAAGAAAAAUUUUUCCUUCGGUUUGUCGAUUAUUCAUGAGAUUUUAUGGGAAUCCAUGCGAAUAUUCAUCAAAAACUAAAGAUUUCAUUGCUGACUCUCGUUAGAAUACAAAAUUACCCCGAAGGAGAAUAGGAAAAGGAUAAGACAGACUAAAGAUAAUAUUGCUCAAGGAUGGAUCUAUCUAGAUAAUAUGUAUUUAUCUAUACACUUUGGUCUAUUCAUGAAUGUUUAUAUCAACUGGAGGAGUACAAGGCGAAAAAAGUUCAAGACUCAACCCAUCAAUAUCUUGGAGCAAGAAGAAUAUGAAGGAAAAAGCAGAUAGAAAGCAGUAAAAAGAUGAUAAGGAAAAGUAGCAGAAUAAAUAUCAGAAUAAAUAGACGAAACUGAUUUUCAUGAUGAGGACGUAAAUGCAUCUGAUAUAACUGUUUCAAAUGAUGAUGAUGAAAAGUAUAAAGAGAGCAUCAAACAUCAUUAUAAAGAUGAAAGUGGAAAAGGUUUUUUUUUCAUUCAAGAUUUUCAAAUAAUGGAUUAAUUGGAUUGGAAAUGAAAUUAUGAAUCAACUUUAUUGACUGGUUAACGAAGAUUAAUUAUAAACCCAUUCUUGGUUCACCAUCUUAUCAAUGUUAACAAGGAUUCCAGGCAUUUCAACUGAAUACCAAUCAACUGUAAAUGUUAGAAGUCAAACUACAAGAAUCAAUAUCAAAUUGCUUGUUACAUAUGCUGUGUUAUGCUUUAAUAUUAGAGUCUGUAUAAUCAUUUGCUAUUCAAGGUUCAUCCAAAAGAUUGAACUCUAUGAUUAUAUGAAAUGAUAAGGUAAAACGGUGUAACUGAUGUUUGAAAAUAGCUACUGUUACAAGACUAAAAUAGCAAGAUUUAUAUUGUGAUCAUGUUUAUAAUCGGUGUUUAACUCAUCGGACUAUAAAUAACAUUGAGUUAGAUGAAAGUAAAUCAAGUUGAUAGUGAAACAUAAAGUCUAUCAAAUAUUGAUGAGUUGAUUAUUGAAAAGGGUGAAAAUGGUGGUGAUAAAGAAAGAUUUACAUCAACAUUUCGAUUGAGGAAUGAAAAAUAUUCCCAUUUCUCAGGCUGAAAUUUUGGUAAACAAUAUUGAAUACAGUUUGAUUUAGGAUUUAUAGUUGCGUUUAUUUUCAUUUUGUUUAUUUUACCUUUUUUCAAAGGAAAACAAUUUUCAUUUCCAACACCUGAAAUUCAUGCACAAAUACAGUUUUAUACUUGCACAACAGAAGUUGUAAUGAUAUUGAUAAUAAUUUUAUAUAUUUUUGCCUUCUCCAAACAAAAGCAAAUGAUAUAAAAGUUGAAAGCCUCAAGAGGCAAAAGAGUGCAAAAAAGGAGGAUAGAAAGUUGAAAAUGAAUAAAGAAAAAAAGUAAAUCUGAUAAAAUUUUGGGUUAAAUUGAAAGGGUAAAAUGAGACUCGAAAUGAUCUCUCAUUUUAACUCAACUUGCACCUAAAAAUUGUUUCUGAAUAAAUUUAUUUCGCUCAACAUUUCCAGUAUUAUUGGGUGACAAAAAGAGGAUUCAAAUCUGUCUCUUGUUAUCAAUUGACAACCAGACUUUGGAUUCAAUUAGUGUGAGCUUUUUUACAAUGUUGGUAUUAUUUGAUUUUCAACAUUUUCAUCUAUUAACAUGAGAAAAUUGUCUGACAAUGAAACCCAAAACUGUUGCUAUUUUCCCAUUGAAUCUCUUAUUAUUUCCUAAUAAUUCUGUCUUCCAAUUUUGACUUAUUUCUCUUGGAACUUGUUUAUACCUUUACGUUUUUUUUCUGGUUAUUUGAUGUACACACACUAAUCAACGGUAAUUACUAAUGUCAACCUGACAGAAUGGUAAUUAACCAUUAAUUACUGUAACAAUUUAAGAAGAUUGGUGAACAAGUGGGCGCACAGGAGUGACUGGUGUAUCCAAUAGCUAAACAUGAAACCAAUCUGUUGUCUGUUUACCAAGAAAAUUGUUCAUUUCAAGCUUUUACCAUUUGAUUACCAUGAAUAAACUGACAGCAAUCUUAUCGCAAA